AUAAAAAAAAGUAUAUAAUAAUAUAAAUAAGAUAUAAAUAAAUAAAUUGAAAAAUAUAUGUGUGAAUUAAAUAAAAAAGAUGAAUUUAUUAAUAUAAGAGCUACUUACAUAAGGGUAAACAAUAAUAUAUGAUAAAUAUAUUGAGACCUAAAGGAAACUGAGAGAAAAGAACCAAGGGAACUGAAACAUCUAAGUACCUUGAGGAAAAGAAAUAAACAUAGAUUCUAUGAAUAUUGGUGAGAGAAAAUAGAGAAGUAUAAAUAAGUAGUAGGAAAAAGAAAUCUACGAAGAUUGGAGAACUAAUCCAAAGACUAAAUAAUGUAAGUAAGUGUAAUAAGUACCGAAAGGGAAUAAUAUUAAUAAGUGAAAUUGAGAGCAAUUAAAGGUUAAUAAAAAAGAAUUAAUUAAUAAUGUACCUUUUGUAUAAUGGGUUAGCAAGUUAUAAUAAAUAGCGAAAAUAAGAAAGAUUUAGAAUGAAAAUGAAAAGAAGUUAUUAAUUAUAGACCCGAAAGUAGAUGAUCUUACCGUAUACAAGUGGUUAAGAUAUAAUAAAUAUGUAAUGUAUAGAUUAUAUUAAACGACUGAACAGGUUAAUGUUGCAAUAUUAUCUGAAGAUAUAUGGUAAGUAGUGAAAGACAAAUCUGAUCUACAGAUAGCUGGUUCUUUGUGAAAUAUAUUUUAGUAUAGCGUUAAUAAGUAAUGUAUUAAUAUGGUAAAGCAAUUAAUAAUAAUUGGGGUAUUGUAAUAAUAUUAUCAAUAUAAUUUAAUCUCAGAAUAAUAUUAAUAUGAAAAUUAAACGUCAGACUGUUAGUGAUAAGAUUGGCAGUCAAAAGGGAAACAGCCCAGAUCAAUAAAGAAAGUUCCAAAUAAUAAUUUAAGUAUAAAUAAUAUUUAUUAAUCGUAAAACAAUAAUGGGAUUAGUUUGACAGUAAUUAUUCUAUGAUCAACGUGUAACAACGGGUUUAUUAAAGGAAAGGAUGAGCAAUCAUUCUGGUCGAUUAAUAGAUAGAUAAUAAUCGGAGUUAAAAAUUAUAACUGAAUUAUUGAAUAAUAUAUAAAAAAAAAGAAUUUAUAAAUUAUGGUAACAAAGCAUUUAAUGAAUAGAAUAUAAUAAAAAAAUAAUUAUUAUAAAAAAGAGAAUAUAUAGAUAUAUAUUAUUAAUUUAUAAUAUAUAAAUGUAUAGAAAAAAGAAAAAAAGAGAUAGAAUUAAAUAGAGAAUGCUGACAUGAGUAACGAAUAAGAGGUAAAAUCCUCUUCACUUUAUGCAUUAGGUUUUAAUAAAAAAUCGGUCCAUAAGGUUUAUUCUGAAAAGAAUAAAUUAAUAGGUAAUAAAUAAAAUAAUAUAAGCCCAUAUAAAAAAAUAAAAGAUUAUGUAUGGUACAGGAAAAAAUAUUAUAAAAAAGAUACCGUAAUAAGACCGACACAGGUAUGCGAAUUAUAAAUGAAAGUGAAUAAGUUAAUUAUAGUAAAUGAACUCGGCAAAAUAAAAGCUCUGACGCUAGUCAAAAAGAGUGAAUAAAGAACAUGUUAUGCGACUGUUUACCAAAAACACAGCACUUUGCGAAAACGAUAAGUUUUAGAAUAAAGUGUGAAUUCUGCCCAAUGUUUAAUAAUAAAGAAAUAUAUUAAAAGAUGUAUUUAUAAAAAUUAAGUAAAUGGCGGCUUUAUACUGAGAGUCAUAAUGUAGCGAAAUUCCUUGACUACUAAUUAUAGUCCUGCAUGAAUGGAGUAACGAUGUAACAACUGUAUCUACUAUAAGCUUAGUGAAAUUGAAAUCGCUGUGAAGAUGCAGUGUACCUAAAGGUAGACGAGAAGACCCUAUGCAGCUUUACUAUGAUUUAAUAAGUUGUUAUUAUUUGAUAAAUUAUUAGUAUAUAAAGAAAUAUAUAGAUAUGCAAAUGAAAUACUUUUAUUUUAUUCAGUUUCAAUAUUUAAAUAUUGAAAUAUAAAUAAUAACUAAAUUAAGAAAAGAUUAGUGGAAAUUAUCCUAAUCAAAGUAUCAAAACAUAUUUAUUAGUAAAAUAAUAGAUAUAGAUAUAUAUUAAUGACAGCUUUAAAUUGAUAGUUUAAAUGGGGCGUUGAUUUCACAAAAAAUAACUGAAUAUGUCCAUAUACAAUUAAAAUAUAAAUUAAAAAAAUGAAUUAAUGAAUUAAUCAUUAAAAAUGUUAAAAAUAAUAAGAAUUUAUUAUAAAUUUAGAAAAACCUAUGUACAGUAAAUUUGACCUGACAUCAAAUAUUCGAACAAAAAAUCGAAAUAAAAUUAAUAUAAUAGUGGAUAACUGUGCAAUAAUUUAACACUAACAAGUGGAAAUUCUACGUAAGUAAGGUAUAAUGAACAGAUCAUUUUAAUAGUCCAAGUGAUCGAUUAACGGAUAAAAGUUACGCUAGGGAUAACAGUGUAAUAACAUGAGAGAGUAGAUAUUGUCAAUGUUGUUUGCCACCUCGAUGUCGACUCAGCCUAUCCUAUUGGUAGUAUAAGCUAAUAAGGGUUUGACUGUUCGUCAAUUAAAAGGCUACGUGAGUUGGGUUCAAUACGUCGUGAGACAGUAUGGUUUCUAUCUUCUUUAGGGGUUAGUUAAAAAAGGUAUAUAACUUAGUACGAAAGGAUUAGUUAUAGUUAAUCAAUGAUUUUACUGUUGUAUAUUAUAGUGUAGUAAUACACAAAUUAUGAAAUAAUCAAAAGUUAAUAUGCAGGCAGUUAAGUUAAAUUAAUAAUAUUUAAAUAUUGAAAGCAUUUAAAAUAUAAAAGUAACUUUUUUUUUAACUAUAUAAUUAUAUAUGUAUAUACCAUAUAUACAUAUAUAAAUCUUAUAUUAUGUUAGAAUAGCAUGUAUUAUAGUAUUAUAUUAGAAAUAAUAGGUUAUAAUAAAAACUAAAUAUGUAAAAGUAUUUGGGUACUAAUUAAUAUAAGUAGUUUAAUUUACAUUCUAUUUAUUUAUUAAAUAUCUUAUUUAUAAAAAUUAAUUAAUAAAUUAAUUAAUAAAAAAUAUGUAAUAAAAUAUGUAACUAUAUUUAUGAAAAAAUUCAUUCAUUCAUAUAAAUGAAUAAAAAAAUAUGUAAUAAAAAAUAU
rnacentral:rRNA from 1 species